rnacentral:rRNA from 1 species
AACGAACGCUGGCGGCAUGCCUAACACAUGCAAGUCGAACGAAAUCCUCGGGUCUAGUGGCGCACGGGUGCGUAACGCGUGGGAAUCUGCCCUUUGGUUCGGAAUAACAGUUGGAAACGACUGCUAAUACCGGAUGAUGACGAAAGUCCAAAGAUUUAUCGCCAGAGGAUGAUCCCGCGUAGGAUUAGCUAGUUGGUGUGGUAAAGGCGCACCAAGGCGACGAUCCUUAGCUGGAUUGAGAGGAUGAUCAGCCACCCUGGGACUGAGACACGGCCCAGACUCCUACGGGAGGCAGCAGUGGAGAAUAUUGGACAAUGGGCGAAAGCCUGAUCCAGCAAUGCCGCGUGAGUGAUGAAGGCCUUAGGGUUGUAAAGCUCUUUUACCCGGGAUGAUAAUGACAGUACCGGGAGAACAAGCUCCGGCUAACUCCGUGCCAGCCGCCGCGGUAAGAC